rnacentral:rRNA from 1 species
UACGUAGGGUGCAAGCGUUAAUCGGAAUUACUGGGCGUAAAGCGUGCGCAGGCGGCUUUGCAAGACAGAUGUGAAAUCCCCGGGCUUAACCUGGGAACUGCAUUUGUGACUGCAUGGCUGGAGUGCGGCAGAGGGGGAUGGAAUUCCGCGUGUAGCAGUGAAAUGCGUAGAUAUGCGGAGGAACACCGAUGGCGAACGCAAUCCCCUGGGCCUGCACUGACGCUCAUCCACGAAAGCGUGGGGAGCAAACAGG